AAAGCAUAAACGAUAAACAUUACAAGUCAUUCAACAAAUAUAUACAUAUACAGACUUGUAAACAAAACAACAAGAUGAUCCAUCCAUCUUACGCCCUUGUGCCACUUCCUGUAAUACAAAUAAAACUGAGUGGGUCAGGCUUGGGAGCCUGGUGAGCAUAUAGGGUUUUCAACCCACAAUAAAUAAGUUAUAUUUAAUUUCACCAACCAAACACUAUCCCGAUUACCCAUUCCCGUUAUCCUCACUUUACGUCCCUAAAACAACUAUCUCAAGGGACCUAAUCUAGGAUUUUCAUCGGGACGGACAUCACUUGCGAAGGGGCUUCCUCAACAAUAGAUAUCCUAAAGGCAACCAUGAGGGGGAUAGAGUACACCGGUGAACACAUCGUUCACAACACCUACAGGUUAUGAACCUGCUAGCGUUCCACUGGACUGUCUAGAAAGAGUCCGUGGUCGUUAUCCAUACUCCGCUGAAUAACUAGAUCAACAACAACAACAACAUCGAGGCCUCUCAUCUGUUUAUUACACACCAACUAUCUACCCAUGUUCUACCCAACAUAUUAGUAGAUAAAAAUAUACAUUUGUAUACAUAGUUUAAAGAAAACCUGUAUAGCAUGCUUUAAUCAACACAUAUAUCACAUAACAGAUGAGGCACACACACACAUAACACAUAUCUCAUAAAGAAAUAAGCAGAUCUAUAAGAUAGAAGAGAGUGAAUACUCAUUCACACAUAACACAACCAAAUAUAUACACAUAGCACGUAUUUUUAUAUAAAAUACUUCGUAUUAUUGUAUUAGAAGAAAUAACUACACACUCACUUGAUCAGAAGAUGAUCGGACAGCACUACGGCUUAUAGAAGUAGUAAUCCACAGCAGAUCUGGAAGAUCUUCUCGAAAAUCGAACUUCUCGCGGGCAGAGCUUCGACUCGGGAACCGCACUUUUCGGGAUCUUCAGGAUCUCGGGACUUGCCUCGGGGCUAGAGUAUGAUACCGGGACUUCGGGGUAGCUUCGGGGGUUUUUGCACAGAGCUUCGACACGAAAACGAGAGGGAAUUGGCAAAAAUACCCGGAACCCUCGCAUCCUAUUUAUAGGAGGCUGGAGCCUCGGAGUACGCGGGGCGUACUGCGUUACGCGGGGCGUACUGCCCAAAACGUCAUUGCUUACGUAUCCGAAGUGCUCGAGUGCGAGUGUCGACAUCCCUCGGAGUACGCGGGGCGUACUCGAGUACGCGGGGCGUACCUCGGAUCAGAUCGGUGACUCCUUCGGAUAAUGCUUCCGAAUUUUGAAUUAAAAAUAAAUACAAAAUGAUUAAUAAACUUCGGAAAUUCAUAACUUCUUCAUACGAACUCCGUUUUCGACGUUCUUUAUAUCCACGCGAAGGUGAGACCACGCUCUACGACUUUCGUUUAGACUCCGUCGGCUAAUUUUGACUUUAUUUUUAUUAAUUAUUUUUAAUAGGCCGGGACAGAAACUUUCGUUAUAAAUUCAUAACUUCUUCGUUUGACGUCCGUUCUCGCCUAACUUUUUAUCGUUUCAAUACCAACAAUGAGAUCUUCGAUUCUCAUUUAGAUUGCUUCGGCUAACAACCGCUCGAUCUCAAAUCGAGUAAAACAGGCUGUAUAUCGCUAAGCCGGAACUUCGAUAAAUCAUAACUUCCUCAUACGAAGUCAGAUUUGGGCGUUCUAUAUAUAUUCGGAAACCUCGUUUCAACUACUACAACAUUAACCAAAGAUAUUAAGUUUAUUUUACACUUAAAUUUUGACGCUUAUUUUUAUUCUUAAUUAAUCAAACCACAUAAUUAAGCAAUUAAGCACAAAACACAUAAUACUCAAAUAAUACAAUCUUAUUAUUUCAAAACGGGUUACAAAGGUUAACCUAGACUAUUACAUUGCUAAAAAUGGCAAGCCCGGAAACACAGGCGUUACAAUUCUCUCCACCUUAGAAUGAUUCCGUCCCCGGAAUCACACAUCAACAAACAAAUGCGGAUAGCGACUCAACAUGUCACUCUCCGUCUCCCAGGUGAGAUUCGGCCCAUUCGUGUGUUUCCAUCGGACAAGCACUAACCCAACCAUUUUGCGUCGCAACUUCUUAGUCUUUCGGUCAACAAUUGCCUCUGGUUCUUCAAUCAACCUUUUGUUCUCAUCAAUUCUCAAUUCAGAAAUUGGAAUUAUAUCGGGAACUUCUCCCGUGAACUUCCUCAAAUAACACACAUGAAAGGUGUUGUGAAUUCCAUUCAGUUCUUCGGGUAAUUCGAGCUUGUAAGCUUGAUUCCCAAUCCUCUGAAGGACUUUAAACGGUCCAAUAAACCUUGGACUCAACUUUCCCCUUUUACCAAAUCUUAUAAGUCCCUUCCACGGCGAGACUUUAAGCAAAACCGAAUCUCCAACCUCAAAAGUCAUCGGUCUUCGCUUCUUGUCAGCAUAGCUCUUUUGACGAUCUUGAGCUGCUAACAUUCUUUCCCUAAUUAUUUUCAACUUUUCAGCAGUUUGAUGAACCAUCUCCGGUCCCAUAAACUGCUUUUCCCCAGCCUCAAGCCAACAAGACGGCGUACGACACUUCUGUCCAUACAAAGCUUGAUAAGGUGCCAUCUUAAUGCUCGAGUGAAAACUAUUAUUAUAGGAAAAUUCUACCAACGGUAAAUGUUCAUCCCAAUUACCUAGGAAUUCCAAGGUACAUGCUCUCAGCAUAUCUUCAAGUGUUUGUAUUGUUCUUUCACUCUGACCAUCAGUCUGCGGAUGGUAAGCUGUGCUUAAACAUAACUUGGUACCCAUUUCCUCUUGUAGACUUUUCCAAAACCUUGAGGUGAAACGGCUAUCACGAUCCGAUACAAUCGUUAACGGAACACCGUGAAGCCUCACAAUUUCCUUCACGUAAGAAUUCGCAAGCUUUUCCAUAGACCAUUUCUCCCUGGCCGCUAUGAAAUGCGCACUCUUAGUGAAUCGAUCAACGACCACCCAAAUCAUGUCGUGACCAUUCUUUGUUCUGGGCAGUUUAGUGACAAAAUCCAUAGCAAUGUCUUCCCACUUACCCAUAGGCACAGGCAAUGGUUCUAAACUCCCGUAAGGUUUCUGAUGUUGUGUCUUGACUCUCGCACAAGUCACACACUCGGCCACAUACUUUGCAACAUCAAGCUUCAUCGUCGGCCACCAGUAGUAGGGUUUCAGGUCCCUAUACAUUUUAGUGCUACCCGGAUGAAUUGAGUACAUGGUUUUGUGAGCUUCUUCCAUCAGAAGAUCCCUAAUUCCUCCUGACUUAGGUACCCAAAUACGAUCUUGGAAUACCUUCAGUCCAUGACCGUUAGUACCAAACACCAACGUUUUACCCAAACGUUCCUCCUUUCGGUCAUUUUUCUCAGAAGCUUCCUCUUGAGCUUUCUUUAUACUUUCCACAAUAGUCGAGACAACUUCAAUUCUCAACGCUCUUGGCCUCUUCCUUUCAAGAUUGACUUUCCGACUGAGAGCAUCAGCAACAACAUUAGCUUUACCGGGGUGGUAAAGUAUCUCGCAGUCGUAGUCUUUAAGUAAUUCUAGCCAGCGUCGUUGCCUCAUAUUCAAUUCUUUCUGAUUAAAGAGGUAUUGGAGACUCUUAUGAUCAGUGAAAAGUUUGCACUUCGUGCCAUAGAGGUAAUGCCUCCAUAUUUUCAGAGCGAAAACUACCGCUGCCAACUCCAAAUCAUGAGUCGGGUAAUUCUUUUCAUGCUCUUUCAGCUGUCGAGACGCAUAUGCUAUCACCUUUUCUCUUUGGGUCAAAACACAACCCAAUCCAACACCAGACGCAUCGCUAUAAACAGCGAAGUCUUCAACUCCAUCGGGUAGAGAAAGUAUCGGUGCCUCGCAUAGCUUCUUCUUUAACUUCUCGAAUGCUUCUUUAUGCUUCUCACUCCAAGCAUAAGUAGCUCCUUUGUGGGUCAAAGCUGUUAAUGGAGUAGCAAUCGAAGAAAAGCCUUGGAUAAACCUUCGGUAAUAUCCGGCUAAUCCUAAAAAGCUUCGAAUCUCCGUGGGACUUUUCGGUUGUUCCCACUUCGUCACAGCUUCGAUCUUCGCUGGAUCAACCAUUAUCCCUUCUUGGUUGACCACGUGACCCAAGAAUUGGACCUCACGAAUCCAAAAAUCACAUUUGGAGAACUUCGCAUAAAGCUUCUCCUUCUUCAAAACUUCUAACACUUCUCGCAAGUGUCUGCCAUGCUCCUCCUGGCUUUUCGAGUAGAUCAGAAUGUCGUCUAUGAACACUAUCACGGAUUUAUCAAGGAAAGGAUUACAAACCCUAUUCAUCAAAUCCAUGAACGCUGCUGGAGCAUUGGUUAGUCCAAACGACAUAACCAAGAACUCGUAGUGUCCAUAUCUAGUUCUGAAUGCAGUCUUCUCGAUAUCUUGCUCUCUUACUUUCAGCUGAUGAUAUCCUGACCUAAGAUCGAUCUUCGAGAAAUAGCUCGAACCUUGCAAUUGAUCAAACAGGUCAUCAAUCCUCGGCAACGGAUAUCUAUUCUUUAUUGUUGCCUUGUUCAGCUCUCUGUAAUCGAUGCACAUUCUCAUACUUCCAUCUUUCUUCUUUACAAAUAACACCGGAGCUCCCCAGGGCGAUGAACUAGGUCUAAUGAAACCUUUGUCCAAUAACUCCUGAAGUUGCAUCAUCAGCUCCUUCAUCUCCGUCGGUGCUAAUCGAUAAGGUGCUUUUGCUAUUGGCGUGGUUCCUGGUAACAAGUCUAUUCUGAACUCCACUUGUCUAUCAGGUGGUAAUCCAGGAAGAUCCUCGGGAAAUACUUCCGGAUAAUCACACACCACUGGAAUGCUCUGCAUCACCUUCUUUUCUUUCUUAGCAUCAAUCACGAAUGCUAAAUAUGAUGUACAUCCCUUGGUCAAACACUUUCUGGCUUUCAUUAGAGAAAUGAUUCCAGAAUUCACUCUGCGUUUGUCCCCAUACACCAUAAACGAAUCUUUCCCAGGCGGGUUUACUUUAACUAUCUUCUUCUUGCACAAAAUUUCGGCAUCAUUGGCGCUAAGCCAAUCCAUUCCCAAGACGAUGUCGAAACCAUUUAGUUCGAUAGGCAAUAAUUCCUCGAGAAACUUAUUCCCAUUAAGGUCGAUCAAGACGUUUUUCAUACGAUGGCUAACAGGUACAAACUUGCCACUAGCUACUUCGACUAAUAAAGCAUUAUCUAGUCUAUCAACAGGCAAAGCUAGCUUUCUACCAAACUCAUGCGAAAUAAAGGAGUAGUUGGCUCCAGAAUCAAACAAUAUAUGAGCAGGUAAUUCGUUUACGAGAAAGGUACCUGAAGCGACAUCAGCUUCAUCUUUCGCAGCCUCAAGUGUCAUCUGGAAGGCUCUCGCCUUCGGCUUUGGUGGAAUGUUGGGCCUAGCUGCCUCCUUCUUCUUCGGACAGUCUUUCAAAAUAUGCCCCUCUUCAUUACACCCAAAACACAUCCUUUUGUUGUUCGGACAUUCAUUGGCAAAAUGUCCAACCUUUCCACACUUGUAGCAGGUCACAUCCUCGCUACAUUUCCCAAAGUGCUUUUUCUUACACUUAUCACACCACUUUGCUUCGCCUCCUUUUCCUCCAAACUUUUUCGAAUCAGAUUUCGAAAAUUUGCUCUUCUUACUGGAACCAGAUGUUCCUUCAAACUUCCUUUUCUCACCAACCUCAACCUUGACGGUGGUUCUCCCCUUGAUCAUGUUCUCCACAGACUUGGCAGCCCAGAUAGCUGCCUCUAGAGUAAGUGCCUGACGUACCGGCACCUCGUACUCCCAUGGAAGUCCCUUCGCAUACCGAUCCACCUUUGUCAGCUCGUCUGGAACGAUACGCAAGGCAAACUCCAUCUUAUCGGUGAAGUUAUUGGUGUACUCAUCCACUGACAUGCUACCCUUCGUCAAUGUCAAAAACUUGUUCUCCAACUCCAACAGAUUUUGAGCCGAGCAGAACUUGCGCUUGAACUGCACCAAGAACUCUGCCCAUGACAAUUGCAGUGGCUCAUUAGGGCUUAAGGUCUUCCCUAGAGUGUUCCACCAACGAACGGCUCCACCUCGGAAUUGUCGCACGGCAUAGAUAGUCUGCAACUUGCCUCUACAGCCACAUGUCAUAAAGGCUAACUCCAUUUCGGAGAUCCAAUCCAUAACCCCAAUCGGAUCCUCCUUUCCAUUGAAGGUCGAUGGUUUACAAGUCAAAAAGUCCUUGUACUUGCAUCCCAUUCCAUCAUUCCUUCCAUCAUGGUUAUCUUGCCUAACUAUCGGUGGGUUGGCUGGACCAACAGACCCACUGAAGUUUCCACCUUCCGAGUGCCCUUCAUUCAGUUCAGGCUCUUCCACACGAAUCGACAGUUCUUCACGAUUUUGUUGAAGCAACCGUCUAGUUUCAUCCAUCUGACGAUCCAACAUCGUCUGAAUCAUCAAUUGCACACCAGCCAUGGUUAUUGGCUCAGGUGCUGCUGCUACGACAGGUAUUGGCUCAAUCACUGGUGGUUGAUUCCUGUUUUCGUCAGCAUUUCCAACUCCACUUCUUGUUCUCACCAUUUUGAUCUACACCGAAUAAGGUGAAAUUAGAUCCUCAAUCAUGAUAGAUAUUCAAAUCAUCCUUAUCACUCCGAAACGUUUACAUGCUAGUUCUAAUAUCGUAGACGUACGCUUAGAAUCCUACACACAUAAGGUUUCUAGAUCCGGUCGGCAACAGACCAUAGAUCCGAACAAAUAAUAUCAUAUAUGGCAACAUAUAACAUUUAGCACAUAAAGCAUUUUAGGCAACUUUCCUAAAAUAAACUAGUGCUCGUGUCUAAAUCACAACAGACACACAUCUCAAAACUUCACUUAGCAUUCUAAGUUUAAGUCUAGAAAUCCUACAAAUUCCUAGUUCGCUUAAACUAAUGCUCUGAUACCAACUGUGACAUCCCCAAAAUCUCGGCCAGAAAAGACCGAUUUUCAUUUAUGCUUUUAAAUAUUUUCAGAGUAAAUCCUUUUGAUUUGAAAGAGUUGCGGAAUUUGUUCCCAAAAACAAAACAUGAUAAAACAUUGUUUACCGAAGCAUUUCAUAAAAGAAAUGUAUUUUCAUUAUAAUCAAAACUCGGGGUGUCAUGUUCCGAUACAGACCAAUAAGCAUAAACGAAUACAUUACAAGUCAUAUAACAAAUAUAAACAUAUGCAGACUUGUAAACAAAACAACUUGAUGGUUCAUCCAUCUCAUGCCCUUCCGCCACUACCUGUAAUACAAUUUAAAACUGAGUGGGUCAGGCUUGGGAGCCUGGUGAGCAUAUAGGGUUUUCAACCCACAAUAAAUAUCAUAUUUAAUUUUCACCAACCAACAAUAACCCAAUUACCCAUUCCCGUUAUUCUCACUUUAAUGUCCCUAAAACAACUAACAUAAGGGACCUAGUCUAAGAAUAUUUCAUCGGGGCGACAACACAUGCUUCGGGGGUACCUCAGCAAUAUAAGUCAAAUAAGGCAACCAUGAGGGGGAUGGAGUACAGCGAAUGAACACCCAAGUUCAUUAACACCUACAGGUGGCGAACCUGCUAAUGUUUCCACAAGACUGUCUAGAAUAGCCAGUGGUCGUCAUCUAAACUCCGCUAGAUGACUCAAUCAAACAACAACGAGGCCUCUCAUCUGUUUAUUACACACCAACUGUCUACCCAUGUUCUACCCAACAUAUUAGUAGAUAAAAAUAUACAUUUGUAUACAUAGUUUAAAGAAAACCUGUAUAGCAUGCUUUAAUCAACACAUAUAUCACAUAACAGAUGAG
rnacentral:lncRNA from 1 species